rnacentral:rRNA from 1 species
AUUGAACGCUGGCGGCAGGCCUAAUACAUGCAAGUCGAGCGGAGCGGCCGACGGGCGAGUAAUUCCUAGGAAUCUGCCUGGUAGUGGGGGAUAACGUCCGGAAACGGGCGCUAAUAUCGCAUACUACCAGAUGAGCCUAGGUGGGAUUAGCUAGUUGGUGGGGUAAAGGCCUACCAAGGCGACGAACCGUAACUGGUCUGAGAGGAUGAUCAGUCACACUGGAACUGAGACACGGUCCAGACUCCUACGGGAGGCAGCAGUGGGGAAAAUUGGACAAUGGGCGAAAGCCUGAUCCAGCCAUGUCGCGUGUGUGAAGAAGGUCUUCGGAUUGUAAAGCACUGUAAGUUGGGAGGCGGUACCAACAGAAUAAGCACCGGCUAACUACGUGCCAGCAGCCGCGGUAAUAC